UGGGAGGAUGAAAUGCACUGGGCUCUGAAAAAAAUGAUAGAAAUGCAUUUGCCUAGAAAGCAUUGUCUGACUU